AGGAAAGGAACCUCAGUCCUGGGUUGGGGUUGGGAUGAAGGAGGAUCGACUCCCCAAAGUGAGGGAGGAACGUUUCCA
rnacentral:pre_miRNA from 1 species